rnacentral:rRNA from 1 species
CAAUAGCGUAUAUUAAAGUUGUUGCAGUUAAAAAGCUCGUAGUCGGAUUUCUGGUGGGAGCGAUCGGUCUGGCGCUUAGCGCGAGUACUUGCAUCGUCUCCGGCCAUCCUUGGGGAGAGUCUGUCUGGCAUUAGGUUGUCGGGCAGAGGAUCCUCAUCGUUUACUGUGAAAAAAUUAGAGUGUUCAAAGCAGGCUUAUGCCGUUGAAUAUAUUAGCAUGGAAUAAUAAGAUAGGACCUCGGUACUAUUUUGUUGGUUUGCGCACCAAAGUAAUGAUUAAUAGGGACAGUUGGGGGUAUUCGUAUUCCGUUGUCAGAGGUGAAAUUCUUGGAUUUACGGAAGACGAACUACUGCGAAAGCAUUUACCAAGGAUGUUUUCAUUAA